AGUGAACGCUGGCGGUAGGCCUAACACAUGCAAGUCGAACGGCAGCACAGUAAGAGCUUGCUCUUACGGGUGGCGGGUGGCGGACGGGUGAGGAAUACAUCGGAAUCUACUUUUUCGUGGGGGAUAACGUAGGGAAACUUACGCUAAUACCGCAUACGACCUACGGGUGCAAGCAGGGGACCUUCGGACCUUGCGCGAUUGGAUGAGCCGAUGUCGGAUUAGCUAGUUGGCGGGGUAAAGUCCCACCAAGGCGACGAUCCGUAGCUGGUCUGAGAGGAUGAUCACCCACACUGGAACUGAGACAGGGUCCAGACUCCUACGGGAGGCACCAGUGGGGAAUAUUGGACAAUGGGCGCAAGCCUGAUCCAGCGAUACCGCGUGGGUGAAGAAGGCCUUCGGGUUGUAAAGCCCUUUUGUUGGGAAAGAAAAGCAGCAGGUUAAUACGCCGCUGUUCUGACGGUACCCAAAGAAUAAGCACCGGCUAACUUCGUG
rnacentral:rRNA from 1 species